rnacentral:misc_RNA from 1 species
CCGGUGCUCCAGCCUCCAGGCCUCCAGCCGCUCGGAGCCUCGGACUCGUCACGCUCCAGCCGCCAGCUCCGGUGCUCCGCUGAUCUGCUUGUCCGGUUGACCGGUUGUCUUGUCCCGCCGGCGGCCGGCUGCGGGCUGCUUGCCGCUUGGUCCCGCCGAGGCGCCGACCCGCAUGGCCGCACGGCUGCCGCCUGCCGCUGCUUCCUGCUUGGCCGCACGUCUGCUUGUCUAGUUGUCUGCUUGGCUGAUUGCUUAAUGCUUAGUGCUUCUAGUUGUCUGCUUGCUUCGUGCUUCUAUGCUUCUAGUUGUUUGAUUGUGACUUGUGAGACUUGUGAGCAGAGCAUAGAAAGGUCAAAGGUAGCUCAUGAGUAUUUAUUUGAUUACCCGCGUG